rnacentral:rRNA from 1 species
UCUGCUUAACACAUGCAAGUCGAACGGAAUCCUUCGGGAUUUAGUGGCGGACGGGUGAGUAACGCGUGAGAACCUAACUUAGGGACGGGGACAACAGUGGGAAACGACUGCUAAUACCCGAUGAGCCGAAAGGUAAAAGAUUAAUUACCCAAAGAAGGGCUCGCGUCCGAUUAGCUAGUUGGAGUGGUAAGAGCACACCAAGGCGACGAUCGGUAGCUGGUCUGAGAGGAUGACCAGCCACACUGGGACUGAGACACGGCCCAGACUCCUACGGGAGGCAGCAGUGGGGAAUUUUCCGCAAUGGGCGAAAGCCUGACGGAGCAAGACCGCGUGAGGGAGGAAGGCUCUUGGGUUGUAAACCUCUUUUCUUUGGGAAGAAGCACUGACGGUACCAAAGGAAUCAGCAUCGGCUAACUCCGUGCCAGCAGCCGCGGUAAUACGGAGGAUGCAAGCGUUAUCCGGAAUCAUUGGGCGUAAAGCGUCCGCAGGUGGCGGCUCAAGUCGGCUGUCAAAGACAGUGGCUCAACUACUGAAAGGCAGUGGAAACUGAACAGCUAGAGGCAGGUAGGGGCAGAGGGAAUUCCCGGUGUAGCGGUGAAAUGCGUAGAGAUCGGGAAGAACACCAGUGGCGAAAGCGCUCUGCUGGACCUGGACUGACACUGAGGGACGAAAGCUAGGGGAGCGAAUGGGAUUAGAUACCCCAGUAGUCCUAGCCGUAAACGAUGGAGACUAGGUGUUGCCCGUAUCGACCCGGGCAGUGCCGCAGCUAACGCGUUAAGUCUCCCGCCUGGGGAGUACGCACGCAAGUGUGAAACUCAAAGGAAUUGACGGGGGCCCGCACAAGCGGUGGAGUAUGUGGUUUAAUUCGAUGCAACGCGAAGAACCUUACCAGGGCUUGACAUGUCCGGAAUCUCCUUGAAAGGGGAGAGUGCCUUCGGGAGCCGGAACACAGGUGGUGCAUGGCUGUCGUCAGCUCGUGUCGUGAGAUGUUGGGUUAAGUCCCGCAACGAGCGCAACCCUCGUUUCUAGUUGCCAGCAUUAAGUUGGGCACUCUGGAGAGACUGCCGGUGACAAACCGGAGGAAGGUGGGGAUGACGUCAAGUCAGCAUGCCCCUUACGUCCUGGGCUACACACGUACUACAAUGCUUUAGACAGAGGGCAGCCAAGUCGCGAGGCCGAGCAAAUCCCAGAAACUAAGGCACAGUUCAGAUUGCAGGCUGCAACUCGCCUGCAUGAAGGCGGAAUCGCUAGUAAUCGCCGGUCAGCAUACGGCGGUGAAUACGUUCCCGGGCCUUGUACACACCGCCCGUCACACCAUGGGAGUUGGCCACGCCCGAAGUCGUUACUCCAACCAUUCGUGGAGGAGGACGCCGAAGGUGGGGCUGAUGACUGGGGUGAAGUCGUAACAAGGUAGCCGUACCGGAAGGUGUGGCUGGAUCACCUCCUUUUUAGGGAGACCAAGCCCAAGCUGACUAAAAAACUCUCAAGAGAAAAAGUCAGGUUGAGGUCAAUCCCAGGUCGUUCGAGAUCGAGAGCCGGCUUUCAAACUAUAGGGGUUCGGAAAUCGAGUCAACAGCGCCAGAGCAAUGAAAAGCGCUGGAGGAGAUAGACCUUGAAGAAUGCCAACAUGGGCUAUUAGCUCAGGUGGUUAGAGCGCACCCCUGAUAAGGGUGAGGUCCCUGGUUCAAGUCCAGGAUGGCCCACCUGCAAAAGGCAAAAGGUCAAAAAGCCACAAGCGCCCUGAUUUAACUUUUGACUGAAUUAGUGGGGGUAUAGCUCAGUUGGUAGAGCGCUGCCUUUGCAAGGCAGAAGUCAGCGGUUCGAGUCCGCUUACCUCCACUCUCCCAAGUUCCCAGCACCUGUCUUGAAUCCAAUCAAGCUAGACUGCUGGAGAAAAAGCCAGCCAGAACCUUGAAAACUGCAUAGCAACUGUCAAAAGCUUGGAAAAAGCGUGAUAGGUUUGUCACGCCAAAUUCAGGCAGGUAGAAACCAAAAAGUCAUCAGAAAUAGUGGUCAAGC